rnacentral:misc_RNA from 1 species
GUUUUCUUUCAUGAAUAUCUUCUCAUUGUCAUUUUUGUGAAGAAAGAAUUUUUAAUGUAAAGAUGAGAAACUGACGUGCAUAGGAUCCAACUGAAAAAUAUAUAAUAUGCUUGAUAUCCAACAUACUCUGAAAAUGAUAUUUGUUGUCGUAUUUAAAACCAAACUGUUUCAUUGCUCUUUUUGUUUUUAUUUUUUAAUAUUAAUAGUAGAGUAGUACUGCUCCUAGGCCAUAAAUUCUUUUUAGUUCUUUGAAUUAGUUGGGCAAUCAAUAUACAGCAUAGGAGGCAUAUGUAUAGUAUCUUCACAGUUUUGCUAUUUUCAUUCCUGUUCUUGUAUAGCUAUUGCUGCAUCAGUAAAUUGAAGACAAGAUGUGAUGAAAGCAAAAGAGAUUCGGCUGUUGAGAAUCCCAAUAAAGAUG